UCAUCCGGGUCCUGGAGAGUGACCUUCGGCCGGCGGGAUCUUCGAACCAGAUAGGUACCCACAGCCAGUCCGAACAGAGUCAGCAGCCCCACCCCCAGAGAGGCUAGCAGGACCGGGCUCUACGGGUAGAGGAGGAGCCGGGGAGGGGGUAGGUGGGGGACCAGGGAUGAAGAUUCCGAGCUCCAGCGAGAGAGAAUGCCAAAGCCACAGAAGUGAGCGGAGUAGCGUCCCCAACCCGCAGCUGGUGCAGCGAGACCCCGGCAUCCAGGCCUGGGCUGCCCAGCCCCGUGGAGCCGACUGCCCAGAACCAGGAAAGCAUGUGUCUUCAAACUCAGAGUAACUGCCCAUGUGGUAGAAGAUGGAGGAACUGAAGUGAAUGGGAACAUUUUGAGACAGGAGAAGGCUGAAUUCAGAGAGAAGCAAGAGCCACCAAGCAGACCGUGGACCACUGCCAGCCUCCCGGAUUCAAUGUGCGGCAGGAAGAGACCUGAAAUGUUGGCAACUGUUUGGUUGAGCCAUUCGGGGUGAAAGACACUGCCUGGCCGUUUCCAGAUCCGAUGGCCCCUUCCACAUACUCACACCUUCCCUGGAGAGAGGUUCCAGCCAGGAAUGUGUAGUUGGCAUGCUGGAGUACACGGGAACUUUUCUGCAUCUUGGUGAAGUAUUUCAGAUGGUUCUUGAUUUCAGAGCUGAUUUGCUCCUGAGCUAGCUGCCGGAUUAUUUUCUCCUUUUCACUCUGAAUACAAGACGAUAGAUUAUCAGCCCCAAGGGUGAUUCUUGUGAUCCUCUGGAGACAACUGGGCACGUACGUGUCCUCUUUAGGGCAGAUUGGAUGACCCCGGGAUCCAUUACAUGGAAUCUGCUCUCCCCUCCUGGUCAUGACCUCCCGCCCCCCCCCCACCCCCAGAACUUGCCAGCCACAGCCAUGUGGCCCUGGAAUCCUGUAGAGUGAGAACCUGCCCACUAAGCCAUUGUCCACAUGUCAUUUCUUUACCAUGGGUCAAGCUGGCAGUCAUUGUCGAACUUGACUCAGGCCUCUGCUGGGUUCUGAAAGACAGGGCCUGGCCCUGUCUGCAACGUCUUCCCCACGCUGCCUCAGCCUGAAAGUCCUUUCGCUUGCUGAGUCUCGAUACACACAGCUCUGCCUCCCAAAGCCUCAGCUGCCCCGGGUGUGUGCUGAGGAGGUGGCAGCAGACAGGUGUUCCUCAUCACCUGUGUCCUGCUGGUCAACACCUCCUCUGAAGGUGCCUGUGCUCUCUCCAUGCCUGGAAUGCCUGCUCCUCUUCCUGCCCUUCCCAAAUCCUAUAAGUCCCAAGUCUAGUUCAAAGGUAACCUCCUCUCUGACACUGUCUGGAUUCCUCAGACGCUCUCCUUUGGCAUUGCCAUGAUGAGCCUAGAAGGGUGGAGACACCUCUAGCCCUAGUACUCACCAGCGAUGUGUUAUGCUCGACACGUGCUGAUUUAUUCUCUCGAAUAAAGAAUCCCAGGAUGGCUAAGGAUGCCAUGACUCUGAUGCAUCUCCACAGGCAGCCUUGCAUAGUGCCAGGAGCCGCUGUGGAAGGAAGCUGAGCAGCAGUAGAUCCCGAGGGCCUCCUACUCAGAGAGCAGGGGUGCCCUUCCUGCCUGGCAUGCCAUGUCCUGAGCCCACCCUUCCCGGACUGAGAGUUCCCAAUACCUGAUUAUUGUCUUAACCUUUUUUCGUCCAGAUUUUCUCUUGCCCCUGCUUUUAGCCAUCUCAAGAAAGAUAACAAACAAGAGUUUCAUUCUGUGGAGGUCCUGCCCUCUCUAUGCUCCCAGGGGAACUGGAGAGGAUAUGUUUGCAAGAAGAGGAAACAGAGGCUGUAGGUAAAAGUGCUUGCUAGCAAGCUUGAUGACCUGAGUUCUAUCCCUGGGAUCUACAUAGUGGAAGGAGAGAACCAACUCCUGGAGAUUGUCCUCUGACCUCCACGUGGAUGCCAUCGUGUGCUUGUGCCUACAUAUGUGUACACACAUACUUAGAGAAAGAAAGAAGUAAAUUCCUAAGUGUAACAUGUAGCCUGCAGGUAAUAGACUUUCUGGCACUUUCCUGCUGUGUGAACUCUGUUCCCAUAGACCUUUGUUUACUCUCUUAGGAGAAAUGCCCUCAGCAAGAUGUUUCCUCCCUCCUCCUCAGCAAUGCAGCUUAGUGUGCUCAAGACAUCAUGUAAACAGUCCGCAUUUCACCGUGAGACCUCCUGUAGCCUGAGCACAUCUGGUGACAGUGAUGAGAAAUGGCAUGUUUGCCACUAUUUCUCUGUGAGCUAUCUGGAAUAAAAGUUUCACAGAAUUCUGGUAAAGGCACUAGCCUAAGAGUCCUCUGGUUCUGUUCAAUCUCAAAUUCAACUUCAAUUCCUUGGCAAUGGCCACUGGCAGGUUGUGAUAGUAAUAAACUAUUUUUAAAAUGUG